GGGGAAAGUGGACUGACAUGAGCCCUGAAGAUGGUCUGGAGGACAUCCUGUGAGACUUGCAGGUUGGUUUAACAAGAGAACCCCCCACUCCAUCCAGUGUGGUCAUUUGAAGUUGCUGCUGACUAAGCCCGGUGGAAACACAUGCUGAAACAGUGAGGAAGGGUCAACAGGGUUCAUUUCGGUGAAAAGAAGCAGAUGCUUUCAAGACACAUAUGCACUGUAAAGAUCUUUCUGUAUUAUGUACAUCGUACUUCUUUAACAUAGAUGUAAGAUUUUACAAACAUGAACUCAGCAAAACUGUAUUUCUAAUGUUCAAGGAAUAUUCAGAGCAUCAACAUAAAUAAUCUUCUUUUGGGAGUUCCCGUUGUGGCUCAGCAGGUUAAGAACCCAACUAGUACCCAUGAGGAUGUGGGUUCAAUUCCUGGCCUCGCUCAGAGGGGUUAAGGAUCUGUGUUGCCAUAAGCUAUGGUGUAGGUUGCAGGGGUGGCUCCAAUUCAACCCCUAGCCUGGAAACUUCCAUAUGCCGCAGGUGCGGCCCUAAAAAUAAAAAAAAAAAAUUAUCUUUUUUUAAAAUGCACUCAUUUUUCAGAAGUCCAAAAAUCAGGCCUCCAUUGUACAAUCGUAGGGGAUAGUAAUUUUCAUUUUUAAAUAAUGAAAAUUUUAUCUUUUAUAUUUGUUCAAAAGUUCCCUCUAUUAUUCAUGAAAAGUGGAUUAUUUCAUAACAAUUUUAUUUUUCAGAUAUGCAUGUUGUAAUGGUAAUAUUUAUUACUUUCAGAGAAAAAAAAAAAGCACAGUGUUUCUCAUUCGCCAAAGUUUUGAGUUUCAGGAUAUUCUAGUGAUGGAGAAGGUGCUGGUGGCUGGGAAUGUGGUGGAUGUUGUCCCAGCUGUAGGCAGUGGGACAGCUGAAGGGGGAACAGCAGGCAAGUGGCAUGAGGUCUUGAGAAAGUGGCAGUCACACCAAGUGGUAGUCAGGCAGCCACUGGCUUGCCAAGCCUGUGGCCGUAGGGGAGCCCUGGCCCACAGCGGAUGAAUGCCUGAGAUUACAUUCGUGAUUAUGUGGCUCCUACUGGCGUGGACAUGACACCAGAGCACAUUAGGAGAUGUUCAGGUCCAUAAUAAGUUGAAUUCCACAUGGGCAAGGAUGGAAGGAAUGACGGUGGAGUGGCCAGCUGGGCCAACACACAAGACCAUGCUUGGGAAGUUGGCUUUCGGGGUCCAUUUCUGCCUUCCAGGGAUUGAGUAAACUUAUGCUUCUCUCUCUUCUGUCUCAAGUCACCAUUCUCUCAAAAAGUAUCUAAUGAUCUCCUUCCUUGUCCCAAACUCUCUGGAGGUAUUGGACCAACCACCGUUCAUUAAAUCACUUGACCACUCUUUAUUGAAUACUGAUUAUGUGCCAGGCAAUGUUCUGAUCACUGGCAGAUAAGACAGACAAGAAUGCUGCAUUCACAGAGUUACCAUGCUUAUGGGGAGGACUGGAAAUAAGAUACUGGAGAGUGAUUUAGAAAAGUGCUAAGUAGAGAAUUAAAGCCAGGGGAUAUAACAGUACCAUGGUGGCUACUUUAGUUUGGGUGGUAGGGAAGGCUUGCUGGGGGAGGGGACCUGUGUGCUGAGAUCUGAAUGGCAAGAAGAGUGAGUCCUAUGAAGAUCAGGGACAGGAGGAUUCCACACAGAGCAGCCGCGAGUAGGAAGGCUCUGUAUGAGGAAUGACUUUGUCACGUUCCACGAAGAGGCAAGUCCUCGUAGCUGGAGCAUAGUGAGGGGUAGAGCAGAGCAAGAAUGGUUGGCGAGGUGGAGAGAGACAUUUGGGGCUUUAGAGGCAAGGGUAAGAUGCUUGCUUUUUCUAAGUGCGUUGAAAAACCGGAGUUCUUGUCGUGGCUCAGUGGUUAACGAAUCCAACUAGGAACCAUGAGGUUGCGGGUUUGAUCCCAGGCCUUUCUCAGCUCAGUUGGGUUAAGGAUCUGGCGUUGCUGUGAGCUGCAGUGUGGGUCGCAGACGUGGCUCAGAUCCUGCAUUUCUGUGGCUCUGGAGUAGGCUGGCAGCUACAGCUCCGAUUAGACCCCUAGCCUGGGAACCUCCAUAUGCUGUGGGAGUGUCCCUAGAAAAGGCAAAAAGACAAAAUAAAAAAAGAAAGAAAGAAAAACCACUGGUGGUUUUUUUUUUUUACAAUCAUUUGUCUUCCCUGUCUUUAUCUACCUAUCUAUCCAUCUAUAUCAUCUAUUUCCUUAGAAAAUGUAUUGCUUUGUCUUCUGUGGCACACAUGAUAUGUUACUGUAGAUAUUCUGCAUCUUGUUUGUUUCGCUUACCAAUAUGCUUUGGAAAUCUAAGUCACUGGGGCUUUUUAAAUGUGGAAAUGACAUAAUAUGAUUUAUGUUUUAAGAAUAUGACUCUGGUAGUUCCCACUGUGGUGCAGUGGGUUAAGAAUCUGACUGCAGUGGCUUGGGUCACUACAGAGGUGCAAAUUUGAUCCCUGGCCCGGCACAGUGGGUUAAAGGAUCUGUUGUUGCUGCAGCUAUGGCAUAGGUCACAGCUGUAGUUUGGAUUCAGUCCCUGGCCAGAACUUCCAUAUGCUGAGGGUGCAGCCAUUAAAAAAAAAAAAAAAAAAA
rnacentral:lncRNA from 1 species